GAUGAAGAACGCAGCGAAAUGCGAUAAGUAAUGCGAAUUGCAGAAUUUCCGUGAGUCAUCGAAUCUUUGAACGCACGUUGCGCCCACUGGUAUUCAGGUGGGCAUGCCUGUUCGAGCGUCAUUAUCUUCCCUCAAACCUCGGGUUUGGUGUUGGACCUCACUUUGUGUGAACAACUGGUCUCAAAGACAAUGACGGCGUCCGUAGGACCCUCGGUGCAACGAGCUUUUAGGAGCACGCGUCGAGUUUCAAGGACCUUACGGCCCGGUCUCUUUACCCCUUUUACAAGGUUGACCUCGGAUCAGGUAGGAAUACCCGCUGAACUUAAGCAUAUCAAUAAGCGGAGGA
rnacentral:misc_RNA from 1 species